rnacentral:lncRNA from 1 species
GGAGUUCAACUAUAUGAAAGUCUUGACAUUGAACUAUUCUCGAUAUUUAACCCAUAUACCCGAUGUCUCAGGUCUUCCAAAUCUAGAAAAGUGCUCCUUUCAAAACUGUGAAAGUUUAAUUAGAAUUCACAGUUCGAUUGGACACCUAAAUAAACUUGAAAUCUUAAAUGCAUCUGGUUGCAGCAAGCUUGAGCAUUUUCCACCCUUACAGCUGCUCUCUCUUAAGAAAUUCAAAAUCUCUCAUUGUGAGAGUCUCAAGAAAAUUACAAUUCACAACUCGAUUGGACACCUAAAUAAACUUGAAAUCUUAAAUACAUCUAAUUGCCUCAAACUUGAGCAUUUCCCACCCUUACAGCUGCCCUCUCUUAAGAAAUUUGAAAUCUCUGGUUGUGAGAGUCUCAAGAAUUUUCCAGAAUUAUUAUGUAAGAUGACAAAUAU